GCCUGGCACCAUGCCUCAUGCCUGUAGUCCUAGCUACUCAUGAGGCAGAAGCAGGAGGAUCACUGGAGCUCAGGAGUUCUGGGCUGUAGAGUGCUAGGCUGUUUGGUGUCUGCCCUAAAUUGGACAUUAAUAUGGUGACCUCCUGGGAGCAAGGGACCACCAGAUGGCCUAAAAAGGGUUGAACUGCCCAAGAUCAGAAAUGGAGUGGGUCAAACUUCCCAUGCUGACCUGUAGUGGUAUCAUGCCUGUGAAAAAUAGCCAUUGAACUCCAGCCUGGGCAACAGAGUAAGAUCCUAUCUCU
rnacentral:SRP_RNA from 1 species